rnacentral:sRNA from 1 species
AAAUUAUGUCCAAGUUUAAGAAGAAACCUGGGAAGUGGAUUCUUCCUUGAUGAUCGAAUCUAUGUCAUACUUUGGUAUAACUAUGGAAGUAUCCUCCUCUUCACUAACACCAUUUUUGUCCUGGUUAUAACAACGCCACGAACCUGCCAGAUAGAAAAGGUACUUCAAAAUUUAAUAUUGAAUUUUACAUGACAUGGUGUCCACAUUAAAGCUUAGAAUUGAGAGAUAAACCUGACUGUGAAAUUCCUAGAGAUCCCAACAUUUCCGAGCCACCAGUGCCUUUAUUAAAACUGUUAUAAGAGCUAGACGACUGACGACGACUUUCCGAUGAUGCACUACUUGAUUCACUUUCAAAUUUGACGACCUCUUGUGUUUCCUCCACCUUACUCUUUCUCUUUGAGGUUCCAUCUUCUACAACAAUAUUUGUAGCAGCCGCGGCUAGAAUCCAACGGUAAAGAUAUAAAAAGAAAAACUCUUUAGAUUUAAAGUGACGUUCAUAUAUCGAACAAUCAAUUCAGAGCAAAAAUAUGGUUU